UACGUAGGGUGCAAGCGUUGUCCGGAAUUAUUGGGCGUAAAGAGCUCGUAGGCGGUCUGUUGCGUCGGCUGUGAAAACCCGGGGCUCAACCCCGGGCCUGCAGCCGAUACGGGCAGACUAGAGUUCGGCAGGGGAGACUGGAAUUCCUGGUGUAGCGGUGAAAUGCGCAGAUAUCAGGAGGAACACCGGUGGCGAAGGCGGCAUCCUGGACCAACACUGACGCUGAGGAGCGAAAGCCAGGGGAGCAAACGGG
rnacentral:rRNA from 1 species